rnacentral:lncRNA from 1 species
GAUAAAAAACUAUUUAUUAAAUAUUAAUGACAAUGACAGAAAUACCCCACAUACUUAACUAAGAUUAUGCUGUUGUUUUAUUCAAACAUUAUAGCUGUUUGAUAAAAAUUUCAGAAUCAGUUCAUUAUCCGUUGUCAUCAUUGCCCAGAAUUAAUUUGAACUAAACAUGAGAUAAAAAUUCCGUAAUCAACUAUUAUUUCAGAGAAACUUUUCAACAAUUCUUCAAACAUUUAUAGUUAUCUUCAAUCCUCCUUUCCAACACUUUAAAAUUUAAUGAAGAAGGCAUUUGACGAAUAGCUCUCUCAUAUUAUCUUUGUGGCGAUAAAACAACUCCAACUUCAGUACGUUUUCGACGAGAAUCAAGCCUGUUUGCUUCUUCUCAAUGGCAGAUAAUCCAUCUAGCUUUUCUAGUUCCUCUUGUACAUCAUUGCACUUUCUAGCUAGCUCAACCUGCAUCAGUUCCUGUUCGACGACAGUUCACUUCGUAGCGCUUCUCCCAAGUUUGCAAAAACCUCCAUGAUUGGCUUCAAUCCAUCAAGUAGCUCCUUCCGACACUCGUCAAUUUAGCCUCAGCCUCGGCAACACGAGCUGCAUGUUGUGGCUUCUUUUGAGUUUAUUAUUCGAAGGGUUCAAUUAUUGGGCGAUGAGACUGAGUUUAACCUGGCUAGCCAGUCAAUAGAAAACAGAGCAACAACAGAGAGAAGGUAACUAAAAGGAAAGAAAGAGAUAUAGGUAUACUUUUCUUAGUUAGCUCUAGCUAGCUCUCCAUCAAAUCGUGAAUCACAAAAUGGGAUUGUUGGACUUUUUCAUAUUACUUAUCGGAGUUGUUUAUCAAUGCCAAGCCAGGACAUAAGCACAGGGCAAUGCAUGUCUGUAUUUUUUUAUCUGAAUUGUGAAAAUGGACUGCGAAGGCUGUGAAAGGAGAGUCUGAAGUUUUGUACUGCACAUGAGAGGUCUAUUCUUACUUUACUUCAGAUAUCCUUUAAUUACUAACUUGUUACAUAUUGAUAUGAAUUGUUGAUAUGCACCUUGUGUUUGUAACUUAACGAUCCAGGGGCGAAGUCAGUGAAGUAUUUGAACAACAACAAAAACAACCACAUAAUGCAAGUAUUUGAACCACAGAAUGCAAUAAACUUCAACAUCCGUAAUACAACAACAAGUAAUCAAAGUAAUACCUGAAUUGAGAAAAUUCGCAGUGACAGUAGAGUUGAGAAGGAAAUUGAUUUUCUAUAGAGUUUCUUUGUUUUGAUCUCUUCUCCUCUUCCGUCAAGAGGUAAACCUUAGUGAGCUGCGGAUCCUUACAAGGGGAUGGGGAUGAUUAGGGAUAUGACAAAUGAUGGUGCACGGGGAAGGGGAUGAUUAGGGAUCUAGACUAUACCUAAUCAGCUAUCUUGGUUGACCUCGAGACUGUGGAACGGACUUCGUCGAAAUUGGAAGUGACGCCAGAGUCACGAACACCGUCGCUUCCGGCUUCAGAGAGCUACGGAGGCGAUCAGAGAUACUGUGGAAAUCAGAUGGAGCUGCGAAGGUGGAGUUCGAAUUUCUCUCGCAUCGACGGCAGCUGUGGAAAUCAGAUUGAGCUUGACAUAAUAGGGUUUCGAAGUAAUAUAUAUCAAUGGCAAUUUUGUAAUAAUAGAUACCUACAAGGGCAGCGUGUAUAUUUUUUAGAUAGAAUCUCAAAAUUCGA